AUGAUACAAUGCCAGUAAUUUGCAAAAAAGUUUCUGUUCUCAGGAUUUAAUAGGAUCAGAAAAAUCUGAGAAAUCUAUGGAGAAGGCACUAUUCUAGAUAUUGUAGAUGAAAAAUAGAUUUCAUAUUUGCUCCUAAAGUGCUAAUAGGCCAUUAUGUAAAAGUAGGCUACACAAAGAGAUAACUCAGAGAGCUUUUGAAAAUUCCCACGUAAGUUGUACAGCUAGCUACCAAGUGCCACAGGCGUUCAGGAGGAGAAGCCGCUUCCAGCAGUCUUCUGAGCAGAGACGGGGUUGGGAAACAUGCGACAGAAGACAUUAUAUGAUGUUAUUUGACUGGUGCUGGAAGGCCACGCUAUGUUCUUCAUAGGCCCAAGUAAGGGAAAAGUGCAAGGAUUUCCCAGAAGAGCCUGAAGGAGUGAGCUCACAGACUGCAGUCAUGGGCUGUGGGUGAAGACAGAUGAGCAGAGGAUUUUAUUGAGCAGGCGGAUAUGUUUGGCUUUAUGGCCGGCUGACGGUGUGGAGAAGCCAGUACUAUACAGUGGUGAAGCAGGAGCUAAGCGAUGGGCAGAGCCCGUUCCCUGAUUCCUAACUUAUAGGAGGAAACUGAAGAACACCAGUGAAAAAAGGAAAGGAAAACAGUGUCCUGUCCCUGUGCUAGGAGCUUCAUGCAUGUUACUUACUUGGCCAGCUUUAUGAAGUGUGUGUUAUUAGUACCAUCUUACAGAUGGAGGAAGCCGGGUCUCAGAGUAAGAAACAUGUCCAAAGCUGCAGAGUUAAUCAGUGGCUGGACAGGCUUGAGUCUGGUCUGCCAGCUCCUGAUACAGCACACCUUCCAGGUAAGAUGGGAAAUGCACCGCCGUCAGCACACUCGGUGCACACUCGGUGCACACUCGGUGCUCAGUCAGGGCCGGCUGGCUGGCCUUCUGUGAGAUGGGUCUCCUGGUCCCAGCUAGUGUUUGUGAAAUAAAUGGGAACACUUUGCAGAGAAGGAAAUCAUAAAAAAGUUGAGGGAUUAUUUGCCCUAUAGCCUUUUUAUAACAAGGCAAGUAAGUAAAAAGAUUAUAAAAUAGUUCCGCUUCAGUUUUAGAGGCGGUCCUAUUUCAAUUGUUUAAUGUUAUUCACAGCUUAUUAAGGCAUGACUUACAAAUAUUACUAAUUGCAUAACUGAAGCACAGAUUGGUUAAGUAUCUUUUCUUUGCACAGAAAAUCUAGAAUUUAUAAACUUAAAAACUGAGUUUUCUGGGAAUAAUUAAGUCUGUAAAAUAUACCAGUUUUUGGUGAAAAUACAGGUUUCCAAAGACCAGUAUAGUUAUAACCUCUGUUCUUCUGCUUGUAUGGAGCCUUUGAUGCUUUCUUUCCUAAAAUAUGAAGAAGGUAAAAAGAGAGAACAUUGUUUCCCUUCUAUAGAGAAAGGCUACUUACCUUUUCUCCUCUUUUUAAGGUGAAAUCAGAAUUCUGGAAUUCAGAUAAACUAGAGCUGAAGAAUAAUCAUUACUUUUUCUGGUCUGGAUACUGCUUGUUUUUAUUUACUUUUGCCCGGAAUAAUAAGUAAUUGGAAAUUAGGCGAGGAAAGCCCUAUUACAGAAAGAGAAAACAAAGUCUAAGCUCUCUGCUGACCUCUGCAGGCGAUAUUUUGAAAUGCAAUUCCCAACCUGCUUUCUCUCAACUUUGUAACUAUGUUUGUAAGGAUCUUAUGUAGAUGGCUAUAUCAACAAUCUUAAUCUGUAGAGAAAUAUGGAUAACAGUACAGAUAACAUCUGUUUCCUCAGCCCUUGUGUAGCUCUCAUGUUUCAUAUUACUAAAUUAAACAUGUUUUAAAAGCAUAUAAGUAUGAAAGUUGCUACAGUUCACAAGAAAUAUUUUAAGGGCUUUUUCUAAAUACAAGAAAACUAAGUUCCACUUCAAAACUCUAAA